AAUCUGCCUGGUAGUGGGGGACAACGUUUCGAAAGGAACGCUAAUACCGCAUACGUCCUACGGGAGAAAGCAGGGACCUUCGGGCCUUGCGCUAUCAGAUGAGCCUAGGUCGGAUUAGCUAGUUGGUGAGGUAAUGGCUCACCAAGGCGACGAUCCGUAACUGGUCUGAGAGGAUGAUCAGUCACACUGGAACUGAGACACGGUCCAGACUCCUACGGGAGGCAGCAGGA
rnacentral:rRNA from 1 species